rnacentral:rRNA from 1 species
GACGUAGGGAGCGAGCGUUGUCCGGAUUCAUUGGGCGUAAAGCGCGCGUAGGCGGCUUCGCAAGUCGGUUGUGAAAAUCCGGGGCUCAACCCCGGACGUGCAUCCGAUACUGCGAGGCUUGAGGUAGGUAGGGGAGAUCGGAAUUCCUGGUGUAGCGGUGGAAUGCGCAGAUAUCAGGAGGAACACCGGUGGCGAAGGCGGAUCUCUGGGCCUUACCUGACGCUGAGGUGCGAAAGCUAGGGGAGCGAACAGG